AUCCAGCUGAUGAGUUCCAAAUAGAAUGAAACGUUCGUCCUGGAU
rfam:Schistosoma curassoni strain Dakar, Senegal genome assembly, scaffold: SCTD_scaffold0004156